rnacentral:rRNA from 1 species
ACCGAACGCUGCCGGCGUGCUUACCCCAUGCAAGUCGACGGGAGCGACGAACGGGUGCGUAACACGUGAGUAACCUGCCCUUUUCUUUGGGAUAAGCCUGGGCAACUGGGUCUAAUACUGGCUGGCUUGGGAUGGGCUCGCGGCUUAUCAGCUUGUGGGUGGGGUGUUGGGUUACCAAGGCUUUGACGGGUAGCCGGCCUGAGAGGUUGGGCGGUGACACUGGGACUGAGAUACGGCCCAGACUCUUACGUGAGGCGGCAGUGGGGGCUAUGGAACAAUGGACGGAAGACGGAUGCAGCGACGUCGUGUGGGGGAUGAAGGUCGUCGGGUUGUAAACUCCUUGAGCCCGCGGAACGGUAGUGGGUAAAGAAGCGCCGGCUAACUACGUGCCAGCAGCCGCGGUAAUAC